rnacentral:rRNA from 1 species
CAGCCGCCACGGUAAUACGAGGGGGGCAAGCGUUGUUCGGAAUUAUUGGGCGUAAAGGGUGCGUAGGCGGUCUGAUAAGUCUGAUGUGAAAGCCCACGGCUCAACCGUGGAGGGUCAUUGGAAACUGUUAAACUUGAGUGCAGGGGAGAAAAGUGGAAUUCCUAGUGUAGCGGUGAAAUGCGUAGAGAUUAGGAGGAACACCAGUGGCGAAGGCGGCUUUUUGGCCUGUAACUGACACUGAGGCGCGAAAACGUGGGGAGCAAACAGGAUUAGAUACCCGCGUAGUCCCUGUCUCUUAUAC